GACGAACGCUGGCGGCGUGCCUAAUACAUGCAAGUAGAGCGAAGCGGCGGAUGGGUGAGUAACGCGUGGGUAACAUGCACAUAAGUCUGGGAUACCAUUUGGAAACAGAUGCUAAUACCGGAUAAUACAGGAUGGACCUGCGAUGCAUUAGCUAGUGGGUAAGGUACCGGCGUACCAAGGCGAUGAUGCAGAGCCGGGUUGAUCGACUGAUCGGCCACAUUGGGACUUAGACACGGCCCAAACUCCUACGGGAGGCAGCAGUAGGGAAUCUUCCACAAUGGACGAAAGUCUGAUGGAGCAACUCCGCGUGAGUGAAGAAGGUUUUCGGAUCGUAAAGCUCUGUUGUUGGUGAAGCGGUAAUCAACCAGAAAGUCACGGCUAACUACGUGCCAGCAGCCGCGGUAAUUC
rnacentral:rRNA from 1 species